rnacentral:rRNA from 1 species
UAGGGAAUCUUCCACAAUGGACGAAAGUCUGAUGGAGCAACGCCGCGUGAGUGAAGAAGGUUUUCGGAUCGUAAAACUCUGUUGUAAGGGAAGAACAAGUACAGUAGUAACUGGCUGUACCUUGACGGUACCUUAUUAGAAAGCCACGGCUAACUACGUGCCAGCAGCCGCGGUAAUACGUAGGUGGCAAGCGUUGUCCGGAAUUAUUGGGCGUAAAGCGCGCGCAGGCGGUCCUUUAAGUCUGAUGUGAAAUCACGUGGCUCAACCACGUGCGGUCAUUGGAAACUGGAGGACUUGAGUGCAGAAGAGGAAAGUGGAAUUCCAAGUGUAGCGGUGAAAUGCGUAGAGAUUUGGAGGAACACCAGUGGCGAAGGCGACUUUCUGGUCUGUAACUGACGCU